CCAUUCACCAUUCUUCAACUUCAUCUCCAUCUGUCGAACCCAGAACCCAGCCGCAUCUCCAUCUCUCAAACUCAUGCGUCUUCUCACGCUCAUUAUCAAAACAAAAAUUACAGCUCUAUGACAAAAAGAGGGAAAUAGUGUAAUCUGUGAUGGAGAGAAAAGGGCUCUCGGCGCACGGGCUCGCGACAUUGUGAGCUCUAUCGGCUUUGGAGAACGGAAGCGGGGCAGGGUGGGGUUCAGGCACUAUGCUCGGUCAAAUGUGAAACAUGCAGCUAGAUGAGAUGAAGGCUCUUUUGGGAAUAAAUAUAAGUAUUUCAAUUUUUAGGAAAUGAUUCUUUGACUCACUGAAUAUUUACUGGCUGGAAGUUCAGUAAUGCUCUGAAAUUACAAUGGUGAUUGUGUGCAGAAUCUACUAGUGGACUUUGCAAGAGAGGUUCUUCGAGCAAGCUCUAUAGAAACCAAAGGGAGAAUGGCAAUAUAUGCCACUGCACAACUAAGAAAAACUUCCGAGAUUAUAUUUAUUGCAGUAUGAUGCUUUUUGUUGAGGGUACAAGCGUCAUACACACUUCUCAUAUAUCAUUUGGUUUGUCAUUUUAUGAAUAAUGUAAAAUUAGAACAAUUUUAUUGCAAGAUCUAUCAAUAGAGUAUAAGAUUAAAAUAUUUAGAUUAUUAUUAGGACAUAGAGUGGUUUGAGUUUUUUUAUAUAUUUAUUUUUUUAUUUUUAUUGAUAAUGUUGAAAGAUGUUAUAAGUUAGCUUACAUUAUAUGUUAAUGAGAAUUUUAAAUUUCUUUUAA